UUACCCUAAGCAAAGACAACUUUAUUAAUGCUCAGGUAGCAAAAUUAUGUCUAAAAUUACAUCUUUAAACAUCUAAACACAAAGCAAACCGUUCGGUUGAAAAGUUUUGUUGUGUGGGAAGAGGUAAAGCUCGGACACGUUUGCAGAGAAACGUCAUCGUCUGCACUCUCCGUCUCUCACCUCCUAUUCUAUCCACAGCAUGCAGUCAUCUAGGAUAUCCAGUUCCAACUACAGCCAGCGCCGUCGAAAACUCACUGAACUUUCAUCCCAAAGUACAUGAAAAUUUAAAUUUUUUUUACCAUAAAUAAUUUAUCAUAGUGAAAUAUUUCCAUGCGAGUAAACAAAGGACAAUAGUUCCAGAGAUCUCAAACACGUCAAAAACAAAGGGCAGUACGAGGGAGUCCUAGGAUCUAUGAAAAUAUAUUCAACACAUAUACAGAUUGAGACAAAAAAUAUAUAAAUACAUUUACACCUAUUUAUAUACAUAUGUACAGUACAUCAGCAAUAUAUCACCCAUGUGAAUAUCACAAAUUAUUUAGAAAUCUCCUCCAUAUAAGACGCCUCUCCUCAAAAUGUGAGCGUCUUGGUGGUAGUUUGGUAAGUUUUCCAACACAUAGUACCUUUUAUUUGUGUUCGGUACAUGCAGUGAAUAGCAGCACAAACUGGAAUGAACCAAAUAGCAUCAGUUCUUUUGGUAAAGUGCACGAUACAGAUAUUUUCAGAAAAUAUAAUAUGACGGAACACCCCCCCCCAAAAAAAUGCCCCAGAUUCUACAGAUACUGAUAAUUCUGGAAUUAGGUUAAAUGACGGUGCUGUGUGUUGUGUCACAUGGUAAAAUAUCUGUAUCUUACUUACCAAAAAUGAGCAGUAGAACGCUUAUGGUUAUAGUCUGGAUUCAGAAUGUCAUGUACAGCAGUUUAAAGAUACACACUUAGAUUUGUAAACACAAAAAUACGAUCCAAAUCCACAAAUGUCAUUGACUAGUACAAGUAAAACAGUUAAUACUUUCCUUAAUUAUGACAUAAAUGUACUCUACUGACUGAGGAUACUUUUUAAUCUGUGGUAUUUGUCUCCAAACCUAACGCUACAUCCACACCAGUGCACAAAUUGGGCAAAACAGAUAUUUUUCUCUAUAUUUGGGCCUCUUUUCCACA